UGGGGAAUAUUGCACAAUGGGGGAAACCCUGAUGCAGCAACGCCGCGUGAGUGAUGAAGGUUUUCGGAUCGUAAAGCUCUGUCUUCAGGGACGAUAAUGACGGUACCUGAGGAGGAAGCCACGGCUAACUACGUGCCAGCAGCCGCGGUAAUACGUAGGUGGCGAGCGUUGUCCGGAUUUACUGGGCGUAAAGGGAGUGUAGGCGGAUUUUUAAGUGAGAUGUGAAAUACCCGGGCUCAACUUGGGUGCUGCAUUUCAAACUGGAAGUCUAGAGUGCAGGAGAGGAGAGUGGAAUUCCUAGUGUAGCGGUGAAAUGCGUAGAGAUUAGGAAGAACACCAGUGGCGAAGGCGACUCUCUGGACUGUAACUGACGCUGAGGCUCGAAAGCGUGGGGAGCAAACA
rnacentral:rRNA from 1 species